UACGGGGGGGGCAAGCGUUGUUCGGAAUUACUGGGCGUAAAGGGCUCGUAGGCUGCCAACUAAGUCAGACGUGAAAUCCCUCGGCUUAACCGGGGAACUGCGUCUGAUACUGGAUGGCUUGAGGUUGGGAGAGGGAUGCGGAAUUCCAGGUGUAGCGGUGAAAUGCGUAGAUAUCUGGAGGAACACCGGUGGCGAAGGCGGCGAUCCUGGACCAAUUCUGACGCUGAGGAGCGAAAGCCAGGGGAGCAAACGGG
rnacentral:rRNA from 1 species